UGCGCAAGGUGAUGAGAACCAUGGAUCCAGCGUCAGGCGUGUGGCGCCCGACAGACAUGAGGAAACGCCCCAUGCUGCCUUCCUUCUGAAAGCACU